rnacentral:rRNA from 1 species
AUACGGAGGGUGCGAGCGUUGUUCGGAAUUAUUGGGCGUAAAGCGCGUGUAGGCGGUUUCUUAAGUCUGAUGUGAAAGCCCCGGGCUCAACCUGGGAAGUGCAUUGGAAACGUGGGGGACUUGAGUACGGGAGAGGGUAGUGGAAUUCCUAGUGUAGGAGUGAAAUCCGUAGAUAUUAGGAGGAACACCGGUGGCGAAGGCGGCUACCUGGACCGAUACUGACGCUGAGACGACGAAAGCGGUGGGGAGAC